CCUACGGGAGGCAGCAGUGAGGAAUAUUGGUCAAUGGACGAGAGUCUGAACCAGCCAAGUAGCGUGAAGGAUGACUGCCCUAUGGGUUGUAAACUUCUUUUAUAUGGGAAUAAAAUGUUCCACGUGUGGGAUUUUGUAUGUACCAUAUGAAUAAGGAUCGGCUAACUCCGUGCCAGCAGCCGCGGUAAUACGGAGGAUCCGAGCGUUAUCCGGAUUUAUUGGGUUUAACGGGAGCGUAGGGGGAUUGUUAAGUCAGUUGUGAAAGUUUGCGGCUCAACCGUAAAAUUGCAGUUGAAACUGACAGGCUUGAGUACAGUAGAGGUGGGCGGAAUUCGUGGUGUAGCGGUGAAAUGCGUAGAUAUCACGAAGAACACCGAUUGCGAAGGCAGUUCACUGGACUGCAACUGACACUGAGGCUCGAAAGUGUGGGUAUCAAACAGGAUUAGAUACCCGAGUAGUC
rnacentral:rRNA from 1 species